GGUGGGUUGGCUCAGUGGUUAGAGCGUAGGUCUCGUAACCGGAAGGUUGCGGGAUCGUAUCCCGCUAGAGGCUG
rnacentral:tRNA from 1 species